GCGCGCAAUCUCCACAAUGCGCGGAAGCGUGAUGGGGGGAGUCUGAGUGAUUCACUUCGGUGGAUCUUUUGCCAAGUUUAGCAAGCUUGGAGAAUAAGUGCUGGGUAAGACCGGUGGCAGCCGCCACGGUAAUACCGGCGGCACAAGUGGUGUUCACUAUUAUUGGGCUUAAAGAGUCCGUAGCCGGCUAAAACCGUCUUGUGUGAAAUAUUGGUGCAUGACGCCAAUACGUGCAUAAGAUACCUUUUGGCUAGGGAGCGGGAGAGGUCAGGAGUAUUCAUGGGGUAAGAGUAAAAUCCCGUAAUCCUAUGAAGACUACCGGUGGCGAAGGCGCCUGACCAGAACGUAUCCGACGGUGAGUGACGAAGGCUAGGAGAACGAAUCGG
rnacentral:rRNA from 1 species